GAGGUUGCUGCUAUCUGGAUUUGAUUAAGCCAUGCAAGUCUUUCCGCAAGGAAGGCAAACUGCUGAGUAACACGUCGAUAACAUACCCUAAGGUUCGGAAUACUCUCGGGAAACUGAGCAUAAGACCGAAUAGGGAAGAAAUUCUGGAAGGAAUUCUUCUUUAAACGUAAGGCCAUAGGAUUGGACGGCGGCGGAUUAGGUAGUUGGUGAGGUAACGGCUCACCAAGCCAAAGAUCCGUAGGGGUCCUGAAAGGGAGAGCCCCCAGAAGGGCACUGAGAUACUGGCCCUAGCCCUACGGGGUGCAGCAGGCGCGAAAACUUUCCAAUGCACGCAAGUGUGAGAAGGAAAUCCAGAGUGCUUAAGAUUAAUCUUAGGCUUUUGCCAUGGGUAAAUACCAGGGAGAAUAAGUGGAGGGCAAUACCUGUGCCAGCCGCCGCGGUAACCCAGGAUCCACAAGUGGCAACCGCUUUUAUUUGGCCUAAAGCGUCCGUAGCUGGUUUUGUAAAUCUUCUGUGAAAUUUCGUGGCUUAACCACGAAGCGCGCAGGAGACACUGCAUCACUUGGGACCGGGAGGCGUGAGGAGUAUUUUUGGGGGAGCGGUAAAAUGUUAUAAUCCCAAAAGGACUACCUGUGGCGAAGGCGCCUCACGAGAACGGAUCCGACAGUGAGGGACGAAAGCUAGGGAGCAAAACGGAUUAGAUACCCGAGUAGUCCUAGCCGUAAACUCUGCAAGCUAGGUGUCGCGUAAUCUUCGGGAUU
rnacentral:rRNA from 1 species